CAGCCCUGAGGCCUGGCUUUGAUCACGAGAAGCAGCAGCAGCAUCAGACAACACUGGCAGGGCCUGAAUGCCAGCCCCCUUCACUGGGGUCGCCAGGUGCACAGCCUGUGAGACGGAGUCUUAUUUCUAUCACUGGCUUCUAUCUACCAUGUGGUCCCUUCCUCACCAGGUCCCCAAGAAAGCACUGAGGGAGUCCUUGAAAGUAUGCAGCCCUGAGGGCUCAGAAGAAGACAGAAGAACCCAUCUGCAGCCACCGGGGGUCCACAGUCUAGCAGAGGAGACGUACAAGUCCCAGAGAGAGGAGAGCCGAUCACUGAACAGGCUUAGAGGCCACAGCAAGGGAGACAGAAGGGAGGGUGUCUAAAAGGCAGAGUUCGUGGGGAUGGAGGCUAAUGGAGCAAGAUACGUGACCCCAAGCAAAGCGUGUGACCCCGAGUCCCAGCCCCUCGAAUGACUUCAUCCUAGGGACGGGGGAUUUUGAAAGAUUUAUUUUGGUUGAAGUCAUUUGGAGCAGACGUCUGCCUUUAAAUGGAAAAAAAAUGGCUUGGAAAUUCUGCUUAGACUGGCUUGGGAGAGGAGGAAAAUCCAGCACUGUCUCACCUUCUGGAUUUAAUUACAUCUUCCUGCCAGUCUGAACACUUAAAAAGCCAGCUUCCUGGGCAGGGAGCCUACGUUCAGACAGGGCUCCAUGCUCACAAGGCCCCACCCUUGCUCCGACGCUUUGAUGCCACCAUCUUAGGAUUCUUACUCCUCACUGGACAAAAAGGGCCUCUCCUUGUCAUUCUGUGCCGGGCCCUCGAACUCAUCUACCUGGUCCUGUCAUGGCUGGGGACAGAGAUGUGGAAAGAAGGCCUUCCAAACAGUCACCCUGAGUUCUGCGAAGCUUCCGCAGUGAAUGCAGGACCAGCCUGGCCCUGGGUUGGGAGUAAAUUUCCCCUCUGAGGUAACUGAGGAAGUCUGGCCAGAAUGGCUGGCCGCUCCGCUGCUCUGGCCCCCGCUUUUCAGUCAGCCCUGUCUUUGGAGAAACAGGAGGGUGGUGAGUUGAGUGCACGGGUCUGAUCUGACCUGCCUGGGUUCAAACCCCGGCUGCAUGUACAGGUGGAGACUGGGCUUCAGCAUCCUCCCUGGGGGGGUUGGGGGGCUCGCACCAGCACACCCACCUCACAGCUGCGAGGGGGCCAGGAGACCACAUCCUGAAAACAGCGUCUGGCUCACCCGACGUGUCCUUCAUCACUCGCUAUUGUAUCACCACUGCUGUCAGAGUGGAUCAGAAGAGGAUAAGCCCAAGGGGGUGGGGGGACACGAGGAGCCUAGUAGCUUCUCCACUGAAGUCUGGGUGAUGGAGUAGCAGGAAAAAGAGGGUGGGGUAAGACGUAUUCUGAAAAUAAAGUAUUAGAGCCAUCUGGUCUCCUUUUAUCAUGUCA